UCGGACGUGGUGUGCGGAACACCGCCGGGUAUUGUGAGUUUUCUUGAAGCAACAAACGUGCAAACUGGCAGUCCGGGGUUCGACUCCCCGCGUCCGAA